rnacentral:rRNA from 1 species
GACGAACGCUGGCGGCGUGCUUAACACAUGCAAGUCGAACGGAAAGGCCCUGCUUUUGUGGGGUGCUCGAGUGGCGAACGGGUGAGUAACACGUGAGUAACCUGCCCUUGACUUUGGGAUAACUUCAGGAAACUGGGGCUAAUACCGGAUAGGAGCUCCUGCUGCAUGGUGGGGGUUGGAAAGUUUCGGCGGUUGGGGAUGGACUCGCGGCUUAUCAGCUUGUUGGUGGGAUAGUGGCUUACCAAGGCUUUGACGGGUAGCCGGCCUGAGAGGGUGACCGGCCACAUUGGGACUGAGAUACGGCCCAGAAUCCUACGGGAGGCAGCAGUGGGGAAUAUUGCACAAUGGGCGGAAGCCUGAUGCAGCAACGCCGCGUGCGGGAUGACGGCCUUCGGGUUGUAAACCGCUUUCGCCUGUGACGAAGCGUGAGUGACGGUAAUGGGUAAAGAAGCACCGGCUAACUACGUG